rnacentral:rRNA from 1 species
CCUACGGGUGGCAGCAGUGGGGAAUAUUGCACAAUGGGGGAAACCCUGAUGCAGCGACGCCGCGUGAGUGAAGAAGUAUUUCGGUAUGUAAAGCUCUAUCAGCAGGGAAGAAGAAAGACGGUACCUGACUAAGAAGCCCCGGCUAACUCCGUGCCAGAAGCCGCGGUAAUACGGAGGGGGCAAGCGUUAUCCGGAUUUACUGGGUGUAAAGGGAGCGUAGACGGCUGUGCAAGUCUGAAGUGAAAGCCCAGGGCUCAACCCUGGGACUGCUUCGGAAACUGUGGAGCUGGAGUGCUGGAGAGGUAAGUGGAAUUCCUAGUGGAGCGGUGAAAUGAGUAGAUAUUAGGAGGAACACCAGUGGCGAAGGCGGCUUACUGGACAGUAACUGACGUUGAGGCUCGAAAGCGUGGGGAGCAAACAGGAUUAGAUACCCCUGUAGUC